UGAGAACCCAUGUCUCCUGGAUAACCCCAGAGUCAAGGAUCUUCCAUCUAUGGAACCCAAAGAAUAGAAGUGUUGCCACCAGAGCCCUUUAGCAAUCAAAAAUUCCUUCAAAGCCAGUGCCGAAGUAUUUGCUUCUGUGUGUGAGCGGCAGCAAGUCCUUGCUGGGUAACAAUGUCGCCUGGGCUUAGACUAACGUUGUAGAGGGCAGAUAACUCUGAUCCCUGCUUAGGGCAGAAUGGAGUUUGCAGCAGGUUACUGAGGAGACCUAUCACUGCCUCUGGACCAUCUUCCAUUUCUAAGGCAUGUUCAUCGAUGCGUCUGUCUAAGGAAUCCCCACGACUCUGUACUUCAUUUCUAACUACUACGUCUUUUGGUUGCUCAUAUGUCAUUGUCUCCCUAAAGGGUGCUCCCUGCUCGAGCAAGGGUUGAAGAAUCUCCAUAUCGUAAGUCAAAUCAUUUAGUUGCUCAUUCAUUUUAUCCAUCUUAUUGUCCAUUGGAA